UACGUAGGGUGCGAGCGUUAAUCGGAAUUACUGGGCGUAAAGAGUGUGUAGGCGGUGCUCUAAGUUCGGUGUGAAAUCUCCCGCUUAACUGGGAGGGUGCGCCGGAAACUGGAGUGCUCGAGCGUGGGAGAGGAAAGCGGAAUUCCUGGUGUAGCGGUGAAAUGCGUAGAUAUCAGGAGGAACACCUGCGGUGUAGACGGCUUUCUGGACCAUUGCUGACGCUGAGACACGAAAGCGUGGGUAGCAAACAGG
rnacentral:rRNA from 1 species